rnacentral:rRNA from 1 species
CUACGGGGGGCUGCAGUGGGGAAUAUUGCACAAUGGGCGCAAGCCUGCUGCAGCCAUGCCGCGUGUGUGAAGAAGGCCUUCGGGUUGUAAAGCACUUUCAGCGGGGAGGAAGGCGGUGAGGUUAAUAACCUCAUCGAUUGACGUUACCCGCAGAAGAAGCACCGGCUAACUCCGUGCCAGCAGCCGCGGUAAUACGGAGGGUGCAAGCGUUAAUCGGAAUUACUGGGCGUAAAGCGCACGCAGGCGGUCUGUCAAGUCGGAUGUGAAAUCCCCGGGCUCAACCUGGGAACUGCAUUCGAAACUGGCAGGCUAGAGUCAUGUAGAGGGAGGUAGAAUUCCAGGUGUAGCGGUGAAAUGCGAAGAGAUCUGGAGGAAUACCGGUGGCGAAGGCGGCCCCCUGGACAAAGACUGACGCUCAGGUGCGAAAGCGUGGGGAGCAAACAGGAUUAGAUACCCUUGUAGUC